UGGGGAAUUUUGGACAAUGGGCGAAAGCCUGACGCAGCAACGCCGCGUGAUCGAGACGCCCUUCGGGGUGUAAAGAUCUGUCAGUGGGGACGAAACUUGACGGUACCCACAGAGGAAGCACCGGCUAACUCCGUGCCAGCAGCCGCGGUAAUACGGGGGGUGCAAGCGUUGUCCAGAAUCAUUGGGCGUAAAGCGUUCGUAGGCGGUAAAGUAAGUCAGAUGUUAAAGCCCGGGGCUCAACUCCGGUUCGGCAUUUGAUACUACUUGACUAGAAUGCGGUAGAGGUAAAGGGAAUUCCUGGUGUAGCGGUGAAAUGCGUAGAUAUCAGGAGGAACAUCGGUGGCGAAGGCGGCCCCCUGGACAAAGACUGACGCUCAGGUGCGAAAGCGUGGGGAGCAAA
rnacentral:rRNA from 1 species